rnacentral:lncRNA from 1 species
CGGGAGCGGCAGCGGCGGUGUGAAACGGGGAGGAGGAGCGGGAGAGGAAGGCUUCGGUGGUGGCUCGGCACGAUGGGGGUGGAUUUCUGUGCAGAAAAUUGAAGCGGCGGCGGCGGCGGUGUGGAAGACGGAGGAGGAGCUGAGAUAGAGGGAUUUUGGCGGCGGCUAUCUCGUUGACCUUGUGCCGCGACACCGACGGCGACGGGGAGACGGCGGACUGAU